AACGAACGCUGGCGGCAUGCCUAACACAUGCAAGUCGAACGGCAGCACGGGGGCAACCCUGGUGGCGAGUGGCGAACGGGUGAGUAACAUAUCGGAACAUACCCUAGAGUGGGGGAUAACGUAGCGAAAGUUACGCUAAUACCGCAUACGAUCUAAGGAUGAAAGUGGGGGAUCUUCGGACCUCAUGCUCAUGGAGUGGCCGAUAUCUGAUUAGCUAGUUGGUGAGGUAAAGGCUCACCAAGGCGACGAUCAGUAGCUGGUUUGAGAGAACGACCAGCCACACUGGAACUGAGACACGGUCCAGACUCCUACGGGAGGCAGCAGUGGGGAAUUUUGGACAAUGGGGGCAACCCUGAUCCAGCAAUGCCGCGUGAGUGAAGAAGGCUUUCGGGUCGUAAAGCUCUGUCAGUGGGGAAGAAAUGGGAUUGGCUAUAUCCAAUUUCCUUGACGGUACCCACAAAGGAAGCACCGGCUAACUCCGUGCCAGCAGCCGCGGUAAU
rnacentral:rRNA from 1 species